rnacentral:rRNA from 1 species
GCGUGGAGCAUGUGGCUUAAUUUGACUCAACGCGGGAAAUCUUACCGGGUCCGGACACACUGAGGAUUGACAGGCAAUAUAUGUGACUCUUCGGAGUUUGCAUUGUUAAAUAUGCUAGUCCUUUCAUGAUUAUGUGAUAGGUGGUGCAUGGCCGUUCUUAGUUCGUGGAGUGAUCUGUCUGCUUAAUUGCGUUUCAAAUUACUUAUAAGGUAGCAAUACGCGAUGAAGCUUUCAAUAGUCCUCACGGAUUCACUUGAGUCUCUCGCUUCGCUAUCCUUUCGAAUGCAACGAACGUGACCGCAACCUCUUGUUGCCUUCGUUUAACAUCCUGCAGNUCGCUGUGGGUACUGAGGGCUUCACUCGGUGACUUUGGGCUGAGCAAUCGGUCU